CCUACGGGAGGCAGCAGUGGGGAAUAUUGCACAAUGGGGGAAACCCUGAUGCAGCGACGCCGCGUGAGUGAAGAAGUAUUUCGGUAUGUAAAGCUCUAUCAGCAGUGAAUUGACGGUAUCUGCAAAGGAAACACGCGCUAACUCCGUGCCUGCCGCCGUGGUAAUACGGAGGGUGCGAGCGUUAAUCGGAAUUACUGGGCGUAAAGCGCUCGUAGGCGGUAGGUCAAGUCAAGGGUGAAAUCCCGGGGCUCAACGUGGGAACUGCCUUUGAAACUGGCAAGCUGGAGUGUGUGAGAGGUUAGUGGAAUUCCAGGUGUAGGGGUGAAAUGCGUAGAUAUCAGGAGGAACAUCAGUGGCGAAGGCGACUAACUGGCACGUAACUGACGCUGAGGCGCGAAAGCGUGGGUAGCAAACAGGAUUAGAUACCCGAGUAGUC
rnacentral:rRNA from 1 species